UACAGAGGGUGCGAGCGUUGUUCGGAAUUAUUGGGCGUAAAGGGCGCGUAGGCGGUGCGGUAAGUCACCUGUGAAAUCUCCUGGCUCAACUGGGAGCUUGCAGGCGAAACUGCCGUGCUGGAGUGUGGGAGAGGUGCGUGGAAUUCCUGGUGUAGCGGUGAAAUGCGCAGAUAUCAGGAGGAACACCAAUGGCGAAGGCAGCUCGCUGGGACGGUACUGACGCUGAGACGCGAAAGCGUGGGGAGCAAACAGG
rnacentral:rRNA from 1 species